rnacentral:rRNA from 1 species
AUGGCUGCCGGAGGAGGAGUGGUGCUCAACCUGCGCGUCCCGUCGGCGUCAGUGACGCCGGCGCGGCGGUGUGGGACGGCGUCGUCGUCGUCGGUGAGAUGCGGGGGCGCGCGCGGGGCGGCGCCGGCGAGGCAUACGGGCGGGGCGCUGGAGGAUGACCACUACCGGAUGCUGAGGCUGGCGCCGGGGGCCACCAGGGGCGAUGUCAAGAGGGCCUUCCACCGCCUCGCGCUGCAGCACCACCCGGACGUCGUGCGCCGGGGCGGCGGGGACGGCCAGCAAGACGACGCCAUCGACUUCCAGCGGAUCAACGCGGCGUACCAGACGUUGAUGAGCAACAUGCGGGAGGCGGAGGCGACGCUCGAGUACUGGCGCCGCCGCUACGGCCUCGCCGACGAGGACCUCGACCGCUACCGCCACUACCUCAACGACGAGGACGCGGACGACUGGUUCGCCGACUUCUGA